rnacentral:rRNA from 1 species
GACAGAGGGUGCAAACGUUGCUCGGAAUCACUGGGCGUAAAGGGCGUGUAGGCGGGAAUGUAAGUCGGGCGUGAAAUCCCUAGGCUCAACCUAGGAACUGCACUCGAAACUGCGUUUCUUGAGUGCCGGAGAGGAAAGCGGAAUUCCUGGUGUAGAGGUGAAAUUCGUAGAUAUCAGGAGGAACACCGGUGGCGAAGGCGGAUCUCUGGGCCUUACCUGACGCUCAGGUGCGAAAGCUAGGGGAGCGAACAGG